CGCCCUUAGAGUUUGAUCAUGGCUCAGGACGAACGCUGGCGGCGUGCCUAAUACAUGCAAGUCGAACGCAGCUUGCUUUGGUAAGAUGAGUGGCGAACGGGUGAGUAACACGUGGGUAACCUGCCUAUCAGAGGGGGAUAACACUUGGAAACAGGUGCUAAUACCGCAUAGAUUUCUUUCGCAUGAAAAGAGAGGAAAGACGUACGUGUCACUGAUAGAUGGACCCGCGGUGCAUUAGCUAGUUGGUGAGGUAACGGCUCACCAAGGCCAUGAUGCAUAGCCGACCUGAGAGGGUGAUCGGCCACACUGGGACUGAGACACGGCCCA
rnacentral:rRNA from 1 species